rnacentral:lncRNA from 1 species
AAACAACAUCCUGAGUGGAAGAGUCUCUAUGUGUUUGGGAUCAGAAGUUCAUUGGAACUCUCUCCCAUGGCCAGAAGACAUGGAUCUUGGAUGUAAAUACAUCUGGCUAAACUUAAAGUGACAGCAGAUACUUUUCUGGAAGAGCUUUUUAUGGAAGAAGGAGGUUAUGUGUCCUCUAUUACUUCAUAAGUAAAGAUACAAUUGGCCCAGCCACAAAAGUUGACAGAACCUGAAAUGCCAGUUGAUAUCCACGUCUCAACUUUAUUCUGAAACAACUUUGUUCAUGGUUUUGAUCAUAUCCCUGAAUGCAGUAAACACUUGUGGCUCAUUGAGUUUAUCAAGAUGUUUUGGUGUGAAGAUUGAGAGACAGAGCUUUUCCCAAAU